rnacentral:lncRNA from 1 species
UCUGAAUUCUUGAAGAUUUGACCUGCAUAUAUUCACCAACUCCCAGGAUUCGAAUGGCAGCAACUAUGGCAACAAUGGCCACCCUUAAUGCCAACUGCUUGAGCACCAACACCCACAGAGUUAUCAACACUUUGAAACCAAAGCCGGUAUCCCUUCUGUCCAUGCAAAACCUCCCAAAAGGCCUCCUCACAACAUCAAGAAAAGCACAAGACUCAAUCUUGUCCAAUCCGCUAACCGGAACAGCCCUUGCUGGCGCAAUUUUCUCAACCUUGAGCUCAUGUGAUGCUGCCUUUGCAGCUCAACAAAUCGCCGAAAUUGCAGAAGGCGAUAACCGUGGUCUAGCACUUCUCCUCCCAAUCCUGCCAGCCAUAGCUUGGGUGCUCUACAACAUCCUCCAACCAGC